rnacentral:rRNA from 1 species
AUGCGUGCUGUAGCCAGGUGGCAGGCGAGCUGCCUCCUCCCCGGCGUGGCCAGGCUCCAUGGUCGGGGCCCCUAUUUCGUGCAGGUUCUUCGGUCCACCCUUGUCUCUCCGGCCUACUCCCCUGGCAAAGCUCGCAGCAUGGCUCCCGUGAAGUUCGACAGGCGUUCCCAUGCGUUUCAAUUCUUCAACUACCUCUCUCUUGCAGGUCAUGUCAUUGGUGAUCGCUCUGGGGCUACAAAACGAAAGGGGCUCGUCGGCAGUUUGGUAGCGCUCGCCGUGCAGCUCCGCGACGACAAUUUUGCAGUGUUGCUGCAAUCCUCGGGCUACGCUCUGCAGUCCGCCCGCAUGGGGCACGCGAGGAAAAUUGGAAAGGGUGAUACAUCUCCAACGUAUCUAUAA